UACAGAGGUCCCAAGCGUUGUUCGGAAUCACUGGGCGUAAAGGGUGCGUAGGCGGCGCGGUAAGUCAGGGGUGAAAUCCCGGAGCUCAACUCCGGAACUGCCUUUGAUACUCCCGCGCUUGAGAACUGGAGGGGACAUCGGAAUUCACGGUGGAGCAGUGAAAUGCGUAGAUAUCGUGUGGAACGCCAAUGGUGAAAGCAGGUAGCUGGGGGUGUGCUGACACUGAGACACGAAAGCCAGGGGAGCAAACGGG
rnacentral:rRNA from 1 species